UAAUAUUGCACAAUGGGCGAAAGCCUGAUGCAGCAACGCCGCGUGAGUGAUGAAGGCCUUCGGGUCGUAAAACUCUGUCCUCAAGGAAGAUAAUGACGGUACUUGAGGAGGAAGCCCCGGCUAACUACGUGCCAGCCGCCGCGGUAAUACGUAGGGGGCUCGGGUUAUCCGGAUUUACUGGGCGUAAAGGGUGCGUAGGUGGUUUCUUAAGUCAGGAGUGAAAGGCUACGGCUUAACCGUAGUAAGCUCUUGAAACUGGGAAACUUGAGUGCAGGAGAGGAAAGUGGAAUUCCUAGUGUAGCGGUGAAAUGCGUAGAUAUUAGGAGGAACACCAGUAGCGAAGGCGGCUUUCUGGACUGUAACUGACACUGAGGCACGAAAGCGUGGGGAGCAAACAGG
rnacentral:rRNA from 1 species